rnacentral:rRNA from 1 species
GACGUAGGGCGCAAGCGUUGUCCGGAUUUAUUGGGCGGAAAGAGCUCGUAGGCGGCCUGUCGCGUCGACUGUGAAAACCCGCAGCUUAACUGCGGGACUGCAGUCGAUACGGGCAGGCUAGAGUUCGGUAGGGGAGACUGGAAUUCCUGGUGUAGCGGUGAAAUGCGCAGAUAUCAGGAGGAACACCGGUGGCGAAGGCGGGUCUCUGGGCCGAUACUGACGCUGAGGAGCGAAAGCGUGGGGAGCGAACAGG